ACACACACACACAUUUCCUCUUUUCUCUCAAAGACAGAGUUGCUAAAAGUCGUAGGUAAUUUUUCAUAAUUUGAAAUAUUAAUUCGGAGGACAUUGGACAGAGAUGCUGGCAGAGAAAGUGGUUUCUCCCUUAUGUGGCCUAUAAGAAAUGACAUGUAGUGUAUUUAUAAGUUUGUGUGGCUUUUAUUAACAUGCAUGUGUAUAUGAAUAAACAGAUCCACAUGUAUUGUGCUGCACGUGUGUGCUUGUGUAUGAGAUCUAUGUGCUGUAAGUAGUAAUCCUGGGUCAGGUAAAUUAACAUGGCAACAGUAUCUCCGAGACCCUCUAACACACAUUCCAUGACUUACAGGAAAUCUCCUCAACCUUUUGUGAGAUCAUGCAUUCUUUUUAUCAAGAAUUUCCCAAAGGGGAUAUAUCCUCUAAGAUCCCCUCGAUUGAGUCAAAUCCAGACCCCCAAGGAAAACAUGCAAUCGCCCCGUGUGCUUUUUCACAAGUCUGAAAGAAUCAGAGUGACUCCCCCAGUCUGCGGCCUUUUUCCCUCUCACAGUUUAUCAACUCCCUAAGAAUUUUAAAGAAUGCAGCACAACAGGGGAGUCACUUAAGGCAGAAAAUUCAUCUCCACCAAUGCCGGGCCUCCUGUUACAAUGGAUUAAUCAUCAAAGUCGAUUAUUCUGUCAAAUUCUCCAAGGGUGAAAUCACACAUCUCACCACUGGUGUGUGGAGCCCGCGCUGCCUUCAUCUCCCUGGCACGGAUACAAAGUCAUUCUGCUUCUUCCUGCUUCUGGAUGACUCCUUGAGACACCACCAGUCAGGGCAGAAGCAGAAACAGCCACCUGCUCCGUGGACGUCUAUUCUGACUGGUCGGUCAGCUUCACUGUAAUCUUUAGAGCAGUCCAGUCGCCACCUAUUUUGACAAUACUAUCGUUAGUCUUUUGAAGACACAGUCAAAUGGAGCCAGUCUGGAGGCCAAGACAGUCAUGGUGCCUCUUUGUAUGCCUGCAUACUUGGAUCUUAUUGGAAAGAAAUCUGGACACGAUGGAAGCAGUUUUUGUUGAAUAACCUGAAACAUGGGCUCACCAAAAUAAAACCUGGUCUCCUCUGAGGUGGAUCAUUUAAAUGUUAACUUUGUGUUUAGGAGGUACCAUAUUGUGAACAAAAAUCACAAUAUUUCACACAUCCAUAUAAGCCAACUGUGUUCCAGAACAUAGCUAAGCAACUACUAAAAAAAAAAUCAGAAUCCUUGAAAGUUAUGCAUUUCACCGUGACACUUUACUGCUACAAAGUGCCACCAAUCUCUACCUGGAUCCUACGUGCUCUUCCUUAGUUUUUUCAUAUCUAUAGGGUCUGAGCAGUUGCUUUAUGACAUCACAUUGGAUUAUCCAAGAAAAUGCACGUGUGCCACAAACACUCUGCAACGACUGGAGGUUGAUAUAAAUAAAAAUAGCUAAAUACCAUUUCCUUAAGGAAUAGGUUGGCUUCCAUGGUAACCCUUUGAUCGUUUUUAUAAACCAAUGCCUGUUUCAAAUCCUCAUUCACUCGCCAUAACUUUGAGGGUGAAAGCAUAGAAGACUUCUGUAUGACAGCAAGAGCCUCAAGUUUUGAAAAGGUCAAAUAGUAAUUCUGGUCCAAGGAUAUGAAAUGUGAUUGUAAUCUUCUUUGAUUGCAUGUUUGAUUGAUUAAACAUAUCAAUAUACCCAGCAAA